rnacentral:misc_RNA from 1 species
GAGCCCUGGGAGGCUC